GGAGGGUGAGUCAGACGGUACGACAGCUGUUUGCUAAACCUUACAGGGGCGACAAACCUCUGAGUGGGUUCGACUCCCACACCCUCCG
rnacentral:tRNA from 1 species